GUUUAUAAGAUAUCUCAUAUAGUUUAUAAGAUAUCUCAUAAACUAUAUAAGAUAUCUUAUAAACUAUAUGAGAUAUCUUAUAAAC
rnacentral:sRNA from 1 species